UAAGUUAUGAAGGGCGCAUGGUGAAUGCCUUGGUACUAGGAGCCGAUGAAGGACGGGACUAACACCGAUAUGCUUCGGGGAGCGGUAAGUACGCUUUGAUCCGGAGAUUUCCGAAUGGGGAAACCCAAUCAUCUUAGUCGAUGAUUGCCUGAGCAGUGAAUACAUAGCUGUCAGGCGGUAGACGCAGUGAACUGAAACAUCUAAGUAGCUGCAGGAAGAGAAAGAAAAUUCGAUUCCCUGAGUAGCGGGCGAGCGAAACGGGAAGAGCCCAAACCAACGAGCUUGCUUGUUGGGGUUGUAGGACUGAACAUUUGAGUUACCAAAGUGCGACGUAGUUGAAGUCGUUGGGAAGCGACGCCAAAGAUGGUGAUAGCCCAGUAAACGAAAACGUCACACUCUCAGUUCAGGAUCCUGAGUACGGCGGGACACGUGAAACCCCGUCGGAAUCCGCGAGGACCAUCUCGCAAGGCUAAAUACUCCCUAGUGACCGAUAGUGAACCAGUACCGUGAGGGAAAGGUGAAAAGCACCCCGGGAGGGGAGUGAAAACAGUUCCUGAAACCAUGUGCCUACAAGCUGUCGGAGCACAUUUACGUGUGACGGCGUGCCUCUUGCAGAAUGAACCGGCGAGUCAUGAUUGCGUGCAAGGUUAAGGUGGAAAAAACCGGAGCCGCAGCGAAAGCGAGUCUGAAAUGGGCGUACGAAGUACGCAGUUAUGUACCCGAAACCAGGUGACCUACCCAUGUCCAGGUUGAAGGUGCGGUAAAACGCCACUGGAGGACCGAACCCGUAUCAGUUGAAAAUGGUUGGGAUGAGGUGUGGGUAGCGGUGAAAUUCCAAACGAACUUGGAGGAUAGCUGGUUCUCUCCGAAAUCUCUUUAGGGGGAGCCUCGAGGUUUAGAAUCAUGGAGGUAGAGCACUGUUUGGACUAGGGGCCCGUCAUGGGUUACUGACUUCAGAUAAACUCCGAAUGCCAUUGAUUUUUACUCGGGAGUCACACGGUGAGUGAUAAGAUCCAUCGUGGAAAGGGGAACAGGCCCAGAUCAUCAGCUAAGGUCCCUAAAUAUAUGCUAAGUGGAAAAGGAUGUGGAAUUGCACAGACAACUAGGAUGUUGGCUCAGAAGCAGCCAUCAUUUAAAGAGUGCGUAAUAGCUCACUAGUCCGAAGUGACUCUGCGCCGAAAAUGUACCGGGGCUAAAGCAUAUUACCGAAGCUAUGGAUGCAUCCAUCAGGAUGCGUGGUAGGAGAGCGUUCCAAGGGCGAUGAAGUCAGACCGUAAGGACUGGUGGAGCGCUUGGAAGUGAGAAUGCCGGUAUGAGUAGCGAAAAGACAGGUGAGAAUCCUGUCCACCGAAUGACUAAGGUUUCCUGGGGAAGGCUCGUCCUCCCAGGGUUAGUCGGGACCUAAGUCGAGGCCGAGAGGCGUAGACGAUGGACAAACAGGUUGAUAUUCCUGUACCAGUUGAUUGUGCUUGAGUGAUGGAGUGGACGCAGAAGGGCUAAGCGAUCCGGACGAUUGGAAGUGUCCGGCCAAGCAGCAAGUCAGUUGAUGAGUCAAAUGCUUAUCAGCGGAGUUGACAAGCUGUGACGGGGAGCGAAAUUAUAGU
rnacentral:rRNA from 2 species